UACGUAGGGUGCAAGCGUUAAUCGGAAUUACUGGGCGUAAAGCGUGCGCAGGCGGUUUUGUAAGUUUGUCGUGAAAGCCCCGGGCUCAACCUGGGAAUUGCGAUGAAGACUGCAAGGCUUGAAUCUGGCAGAGGGGGGUAGAAUUCCACGUGUAGCAGUGAAAUGCGUAGAGAUGACGGAGGAACACCGAUGGCGAAGGCAGCCUUCUGGGCCAACACUGACGCUCAUGCACGAAAGCGUGGGGAGCAAACAG
rnacentral:rRNA from 1 species